AGCUGGAGUACCACUUCUGGAGAAGCAAGACUUGUCAUUCUUUCACAUGGCCUCUAUACAUGCACUAGCUCAGUAUAUGUCUCACAGCCUCCCAGAAAUACAACUCUUGAGUUUUUUUCCUUCUUUUCUUACAAGCCAAGAGAAAACAACAAACCAAAGAAAACAAACAAAAACAAAAACCAUAAAAACAACAAAAACAAACAAACAUACAAGCAUACACAAAAAAAGGAUAUACUUUCCAAUAGAGCAUUCUCAUUAACAUAUGAAUUGUUAAUAUAUCUCCCUAAAGAUCCAGCCAAACAUGGUCUUUCACACCAACAAUCCUAACUGUUUUUAGAGGCAGAGAUAAGAAGGGCAAAUUCAAGUCCUGUCUAAGAUACAGGAAAAGUUCCAGUUUGAUAAUUUACUGGGAUUGUGUUUACACAAUAAAAAAUAAAAAGGAGCUUAAGAACUUAAGAGCCUUGCCUGUUCUCCCUACAGAUUUCAGUUCAGUUCCCAGCAAUGUCAUGUAGGUUUAAGCACCAAGAAAGCAAGCACAUGGCAAACAGAUACGCGAAUGUGAAAAAUUCCCAUACAUA
rnacentral:lncRNA from 1 species